GCCGAGGUGGCUCAGUGGUAGAGCAGCUCACUCGUAAUGAGCAGGUCGUCGGUUCAAAUCCGACCCUCGGCUCCA
rnacentral:tRNA from 1 species